rnacentral:ncRNA from 1 species
GCGAGCGGAGUGCACAGGAAACUUGCAUACUCCGUUCUGAGAGGGGCGAUUGGAAAAGUGCUGUCUUCGGAUGGUAACUCGCUGGUCGCCUACUCUAC